GCCAGUUCCGGUGGCAGGAGCGUGGGGCGGCGGCGGUGGGCUCGGCGGUGCGGAGAGGGCCUUGUUCUGGGCUGCGACGCGGCGCUGGGACUUAGGUUUCCUUAUUGGGCAGAGAGCUUCGGAACGUGACUUUGUGUUGUGACGGGGCAAGGAGGGGUGGGAUUUCGUUUUCGCGAUUACUGGCGAGGGCGGCAUCAUCGUCCGGGCUGCUGCGACAGGCCUGAGUGUGGGAGACCGAAGUCCGGGCCCUGGAAAUCGCUUCCCGCGUUCCCACCUGCUCGGCCACACCGUCUCUGCCUGCAUGCCUUCCCUUCCAGCUUGGUUCGCUUGUCUGACUGUGGAGCCAGAUCGGCCCACGGUGUGGCACCUCCUGGGGAGGGAGGAGGACCCUGACCUGAGGCGUAUAAAGAUAGACGGACUGGAGGUAGAAAGGCACAGACGUGUUUGGGUGAAGCCGGAGUUCCAGCCCAGCCAGGGUUACCACUAUGGCAACUGGUACAAGCAGCAUCACAGCUCUUAUCCUCUUUCUGGCUACAGCUACACCUGUGCGGUGGAUGGAAAUGGAGUUUCAGCACGUGAGACCCCUGAACACCCAGCUGGAACUUUGGUUAUGCCUGAGGAAACCACAGCUCUGGCUGAAAACCAAGAUGAAGACCCACUAGAAGGUAAACGUAAACCUUGUGCCUCAGUGGUUGAAAACAAAACAUAACCCUGUUUCCAGGUUUCUCGUUCACUCAACUUGCUAGAAACCGAGAGAUCCUACAAGAAAAUUCCAACGUAGGUUGCCCAAGCCAUUCUUUUCAGUAAUGUAAAUUGUUUUUGGAAAUUGCUUCUAUGGGAACAACUUCAGCUAAGCCACCUCUCUCGGCCUUUCUGAAGUGCCGGGAAAUGGGGACAUUCCAAACAGUAAGAAGACAACGAACCUACUUGCUGCCUGUGUGACUUUAUCAAAGAAGAGAGCAUGCUGUUACCAGUUUUGUGG